rnacentral:rRNA from 1 species
CAGUAGCCGCGGGAAUACGGAGGGAGCUAGCGUUGUUCGGAAUUACUGGGCGUAAAGCGCGCGUAGGCGGUUACUCAAGUCAGAGGUGAAAGCCCGGGGCUCAACCCCGGAACUGCCUUUGAAACUAGAUAGCUAGAAUCUUGGAGAGGUCAGUGGAACUCCGAGUGUAGAGGUGAAAUUCGUAGAUAUUCGGAAGAACACCAGUGGCGAAGGCGACUGACUGGACAAGUAUUGACGCUGAGGUGCGAAAGCGUGGGGAGCAAACAGGAUUAGAUACCCCCGUAGUCCCUGUCUCUUAUAC